rnacentral:sRNA from 1 species
GCCAGGCAUGGUGGUGCAUGCCUGUAGUCUCAGCUACUCAAGAGAGGCUGAGGUGGGAGGAUCACUUGAGCUCAGGAAAUCAGGGCUGCAGUGAGCGCUGAUCAUGCCACUGCUCUCCAGCCUGGGCAACAGGGCAAGACCCUGCCUCAA